rnacentral:rRNA from 1 species
CCACUACUCCUACGGGAGGCAGCAGUGGGGAAUAUUGCACAAUGGGCGGAAGCCUGAUGCAGCGACGCCGCGUGAGGGAUGACGGCCUUCGGGUUGUAAACCUCUUUCAGUAGGGAAGAAGCGAAAGUGACGGUACCUGCAGAAGAAGCGCCGGCUAACUACGUGCCAGCAGCCGCGGUAAUACGUAGGGCGCAAGCGUUAUCCGGAAUUAUUGGGCGUAAAGAGCUCGUAGGCGGUUUGUCGCGUCUGCCGUGAAAGUCCGGGGCUCAACUCCGGAUCUGCGGUGGGUACGGGCAGACUAGAGUGAUGUAGGGGAGACUGGAAUUCCUGGUGUAGCGGUGAAAUGCGCAGAUAUCAGGAGGAACACCGAUGGCGAAGGCAGGUCUCUGGGCAUUAACUGACGCUGAGGAGCGAAAGCAUGGGGAGCGAACAGGAUUAGAUACCCUGGUAGUCCAUGCCGUAAACGUUGGGCACUAGGUGUGGGGGACAUUCCACGUUUUCCGCGCCGUAGCUAACGCAUUAAGUGCCCCGCCUGGGGAGUACGGCCGCAAGGCUAAAACUCAAAGGAAUUGACGGGGGCCCGCACAAGCGGCGGAGCAUGCGGAUUAAUUCGAUGCAACGCGAAGAACCUUACCAAGGCUUGACAUGAACCGGUAAGACCCUGAAACCAGGCCCCCCCCCUU